AUUGAACGCUGGCGGCAUGCCUUACACAUGCAAGUCGAACGGCAGCACGGGAGCAAUCCCGGUGGCGAGUGGCGAACGGGUGAGUAAAGUAUCGGAACGUGCCCAGUCGUGGGGGAUAACGUAGCGAAAGUUACGCUAAUACCGCAUACGAUCUAUGGAUGAAAGCGGGGGAUCGCAAGACCUCGCGCGAUUGGAGCGGCCGAUAUCAGAUUAGGUAGUUGGUGGGGUAAAGGCUCACCAAGCCGACGAUCUGUAGCUGGUCUGAGAGGACGACCAGCCACACUGGGACUGAGACACGGCCCAGACUCCUACGGGAGGCAGCAGUGGGGAAUUUUGGACAAUGGGCGAAAGCCUGAUCCAGCCAUGCCGCGUGCAGGAUGAAGGCCUUCGGGUUGUAAACUGCUUUUGUACGGAACGAAAAGGACUGCCCUAAUACGGUGGUCCCAUGACGGUACCGUAAGAAUAAGCACCGGCUAACUACGUGCCAGCAGCCGCAGUAA
rnacentral:rRNA from 1 species